UCAUGAUUUACAUUUGAGUGAGUGGCGAACUGGUGAGUAACACGUGGGAAACCUGCCCAGAAGCGGGGGAUAACACCUGGAAACAGAUGCUAAUACCGCAUAACAACUUGGACCGCAUGGUCCGAGCUUGAAAGAUGGCUUCGGCUAUCACUUUUGGAUGGUCCCGCGGCGUAUUAGCUAGAUGGUGGGGUAACGGCUCACCAUGGCAAUGAUACGUAGCCGACCUGAGAGGGUAAUCGGCCACAUUGGGACUGAGACACGGCCCAAACUCCUACGGGAGGCAGCAGUAGGGAAUCUUCCACAAUGGACGAAAGUCUGAUGGAGCAACGCCGCGUGAGUGAAGAAGGGUUUCGGCUCGUAAAACUCUGUUGUUAAAGAAGAACAUAUCUGAGAGUAACUGUUCAGGUAUUGACGGUAUUUAACCAGAAAGCCACGGCUAACUACGUGCCAGCAGCCGCGGUAAUACGUAGGUGGCAAGCGUUGUCCGGAUUUAUUGGGCGUAAAGCGAGCGCAGGCGGUUUUUUAAGUCUGAUGUGAAAGCCUUCGGCUCAACCGAAGAAGUGCAUCGGAAACUGGGAAACUUGAGUGCAGAAGAGGACAGUGGAACUCCAUGUGUAGCGGUGAAAUGCGUAGAUAUAUGGAAGAACACCAGUGGCGAAGGCGGCUGUCUGGUCUGUAACUGACGCUGAGGCUCGAAAGUAUGGGUAGCAAACAGGAUUAGUUACCCUGGUAGUCCAUACCGUAAACGAUGAAUGCUAAGUGUUGGAGGGUUUCCGCCCUUCAGUGCUGCAGCUAACGCAUUAA
rnacentral:rRNA from 1 species